rnacentral:lncRNA from 1 species
UCAAAAACAAUAUGUGAAAGUGUAAAGAAGCUUGUUUCCAUCUGGGUAAAUCUCUCAUUUUCACCAAGGGUGAUAAAAAUGAAAUGAUAAAAGUAGAAAAAGCUGGUAGUGAUUGCAUAGAAAACAAGACUGUUUGAACAAAUGUCCACGCAACAAUGUGAUAUGCAACAAGUUGGUUUUUCUUGGUGUGGGUUGGGGAUGUUUUACUUGAAAUUUGUUUUUAAUCCUUUUACUAAAAAUGGCUGCUCUGUUUAUUGCACUCAAUAAAAGAUGUUUUAGCCUGAAAACAGAACUAUUUUACCAUAAUACUCAGUUUCUUUUCAUAAACUGAGAAAAUAAAGAGAUGUCAGAGAUGCCUAAAAUUCUACAGCUUGGUUUACUUUCUAUCAAAAUGGUAAAAGGUUAACAUGAAUAUUCAGUCAGUCUGUCAUUAGUAUCUGAAUAAACUAUACAGGCACACCUCAUUUUAUUGUGCUUCACAGAUAUUGUGGGUUUUACAAAUUGAAGGUGUGUGGCAACCCUGCACCAAGCAAGUCUCUUGGCACCGUUUUUCCAACAGCAUUUGCUCAUUCAUUUCUCGGUGAUACAUUUUGGUAAUACUCACAAUAUUUCACACUUUUCAUUAUUAUUAGGUCUGUUAUCAGUGACCUUUGAUGUUACUAUUGUAAUUGUUUUGGGGCGCCACAAACCACAUCCAUUUAAGAUGGCAAACUUAAAGGAUAGAUGUUACAUGUGGUCUGACUGCUUCACCAACUGGCCAUUCUCCCCAUCUCCCUAUUCCCUGAGAUUCAGUAAGACUGAAAUUUGGCCAACUAAUAAUCCUACAAUGGCCUCUAAGUGUUCAAGUGAAAGGAAGAGUUGCGUAUCUCUUACUUCAAAGCAAAAGCUAGAAAGGACUCAUGAGGAAGGUAUGUCAAAAGCCAAGACAAGCCAAAAGCUAGGUCUCUUGUGCCAAAUAGCUAAAUUGUUUCUUCUGCAUUUGUGAAUGUAAAAGAAAAGUUCUCAAAGAAAAUUAAAACCAGCAGACGCAUGAAUGGUAAAGCCAAACAGUCUUAUUGCUGGUAUGAAGAAAGUUUGAGUGGUCUGGAUAGAGAAUCAAGCCAACCACAACAUUCCCUUAAGCCAAAGCCUAAUCUAGAGCAAGACCCUAACUCUCCAAUUCUCCAAAGGCUGAAAAAGGUGAGGAAGCUGCAGAAUUGGUUUAAAGCUGGCAGAGGUUGGUCUCCACAACAUAAAAAUAUGAGGUGAAGCAGCAAGUGCUGAUGUAGAAGCUACAGCAAGUUAUCCAGAAGAACUGGCUAAGAUAAUUAAUGAAGGUGGCUACACUAAACAACAUAUUUUCAACGUAGACAAAAUAGCCAUCAAUUGGAAGAAGAUGCCACCGAGGGCUUUCAUAAGAGAAAGAGAGAAGUCAAUGCCUGGUUUCAAAGUUUCAAAGACAGAGUGACUCUUGUUAGGGGCUAAUGAAGCUGGUGACUUGAAGUUAAAGCCAAUGCUCCUUUAGCAUUCUGAAAAUCCUAGGACCCUCAUGAAUUAAGCUAAGUCUAUUCUGCCUACAAUCUAUAAAUGGAAGAACAAAGCCUGGAUGACAACAUCUCAGCUUACAACAUGGUUUACUAAAUAUUCUAACCUCUCUGUUAAGACCUACUGCUCAGAAAAACAGACUCAUUUCAAGAUAUGACUGCUCACUAACAAUGCACAUGAACACCCAAGAGCUCUGAUGAAGAAUGUACAGCCAAGAUUAAUUUUAUUUUCAUUCCUGCUAACACAACAUCCAUUCAUCAGCCCAUGGAUCAAGGCAUAAUUCUGACUUUCACAGUUUAUUAUUUAAGAAAAACACUUUGUGGAGAUAACCAAGAUCAGAGUAGAAAUAAACAAAAUAUAAACCAAAAAAAAAAAAAAAAAAAA